CGCGUAGGUGGGUAUGUAAGUCAGAUGUGAAAUUCCGGAGCUUAACUCCGGAACUGCAUUUGAAACUGCGUACCUUGAGGGUAGACGGAGAAAGUGGAAUUCCACGUGUAGCGGUGAAAUGCGUAGAUAUGUGGAAGAACACCUGUGGCGAAAGCGACUUUCUAGUUUAUUCCUGACACUGAGGCGCGAAAGCAAGGGGAGCAAACAGGAUUAGAUACCCUGGUAGUCC
rnacentral:rRNA from 1 species